CGACCUCAGAUCAGACGAGGCGAUCCGCUGAAUUUAAGCAUAUUACUAAGCGGAGGAAAAAACUAACGAGGAUUCCCCCAGUAGCAGCGAGCAAAGAGGGAAGAGCCUGCCGCCGAAUCCCCAUCUGCGCGGCGGGCAAGGGAAAUGUAGUGUAUGGAAGACUGCUCGACCGGGGCUUCAGCCAGGGGCCCCAAGUCCUUCUGAUCGAGGCUCAGCCCGUGGACGGUGUGUGGCCGGUAGUGGGCCCCCGUCGUGCAGCGGCACAGUCAACCCGGAGUCAGGUUGCUUGGGAAUGCAGCCCAAAGCAGGUGGUAAACUCCAUCUAAGGCUGAAUACCAGCACGAGACUGAUAGUUAAGUACCGUAAGGAAAAGUUGAAAAGAACUUUGAAGAGGGAGUUCAAGAGGGCAUAAAACCGUUAAGAGGUAAAUGGGUGGGGUCCGCGCAGUCCACCUGGAGGAUUCAACUCGGCGGGUUAACGGCGGUCGGACGUCCCAGGUUUCUCCCAUCGGAUUCCCUCUUUCCUCAUCCGUCCCUCCUCCCAAUCCCCCCGGGGGAGUGCAGCGUCAGGGUGGAAGAAAAGGGGACCGUGGCCUGGCCAGACUCGGCCCUUGCCGAGCACAUUUCCUCCGCAGUCGGUGCGCUGUGACCGGUUCUGGGUCGGCAUGGAAGGGCUCCUGGUUUUUCAGGAAGGUUGCUCGGCAGCCCCUAAACAAGGCGUUGAGCAUUACAGCCCCCUGCUACCCCGACCUCGCCGUUUCCCAGGGCAAAGAAAAAGGACUUCCGCCACGCUGCUCCUCCCUCCCAUAUGCCGGGCACCACCGGACGGUGGGGACGACCAGAGGGCUGGAGCCCCGAUGCAACUGCAAAACCGGGUCAGACUGUCCUCAGUGUGCUCCCGACUGCGUUGCGCUGCCCAGGGUAGGAAUUGACCCAUGACAAAAGGCGCCGGGGUCAGCGGCAAUGUAGGCGACCCACCUGAACGGUCUUGAAAGAUGGACUAAGGAUUCUGACACGCGUACGAGUCCAAGGGUUCAAGCGAAACCUGAAGGGUGCAAUGANAACUAGCUGUGUUCUUCAUCAACGCACGAGUUGAGUGAUCCACUGCUAAGAGUCGGUGAACCUCGGUGUAGCAAGUGGUAGGUAGCUAACUAGGUUUGCUUGAGACAGUCAAUUCCGUCAUGGACAAGUUCUUGGUACCAAACUGCCACAAUCAUGUUAAGUCUUCUUGUUAAACAUCAGUCUUAACAUUUCAACCCCUUUAAGAAGGUGGAAUCUUCAACCUCCUGAUGCUACACAUAUCUCAGGCCAGUUCCCCAGAGCUUAUUUCUUAUAGCUCUACCAUUACCACGAUUAGCAACUUCCCUCUCUCUUCUGGUUAAUUCCCAUCUACCUUCAAAAAUUCUUAACUCACAGCUGUAAAAGAAAAUUCUUUGGAUCCAGAAUCAGUCCACAACUUUAUGCCAGUUUAUCUUUUUCUCUCAUUUACAUUUAUUCAUUUAGCAGACGCUUUUGU
rnacentral:ncRNA from 1 species